CCAAUAGCGUAUAUUAAAGUUGUUGCAGUUAAAAAGCUCGUAGUUGAAUUUCGAGACCGGUCUACUGGUCGUGCUUUUGUACGUACUGGUUUUAUUGGUUUCUCCUUUCUGACGAACUAUAAUGCCAUUAAUUUGGUGUUAUAGGGAAUCAGGACUGUUACUUUGAAAAAAUUAGAGUGUUUAAAGCAGGCUCACGCUUGAAUACAUUAGCAUGGAAUAACGGAAUAGGCCGUUUGAUUUUAUUUUGUUGGUUUCUAGGAUCGACGUAAUGAUUAAUAGGGAUGGUUGUGGGCAUUAGUAUUCAAUUGGCAGAGGCGAAAUUCUUGGAUUUAUUGAAGACUAAAUACUGCGAAAGCAUUUGCCAAGGAUGUUUUCAUUAAUCAAGAACGAAAGUUAGGGGAUCGAAGACGAUCAGAUACCGUCGUAGUCUUAACCAUAAACUAUGCCGACUAGGGAUCGGAUGAUGUUAAUUUUUUAAUGACUCAUUCGGCGCCUUACG
rnacentral:rRNA from 1 species